AAUUUUGGACAAUGGGGGAAACCCUGAUCCAGCCAUCACGCGUGUAUGAUGAAGGUCUUCGGGUUGUAAAGCACUUUAAGUUGGGAGGAAGGGCUUUAGGUUAAUACCCUGAAGUUCUGAUGUUACCAACAGAAUAAGCACCGGAUAACUCUGUGCCAGCAGCCGCGGUAAUACAGAGGGUGCACGCGUUCAUCGUUAUUAUGGGGCGUAAAGAGCGCGUAGGUUGUUCAGUAAGAUGGGUGUGAAAUCACCGCGCUUAACCUGGGAACUGCUUUCAUAACUGCUGAGCUAGAGUACGGUAGAGGGUAGUGGAAUUUACUGUGUAGCGGUGAAAUGCGUAGAUAUAGGAAGGAACACCAGUGGCGAAGGCGACUACCUGGACUGAUACUGACACUGAGGUGCGAAAGCGUGGGGAGCAAACA
rnacentral:rRNA from 1 species